AUGCUUUCGUCGGGUACACCUCUUCAUCGCUGCUCGAUGUUUUUUGGCGGUGUUCCAUACAUUGAUCCUGUCUCGCACAUGCGUCUUUCCUCGGUGCUUGGUGCUCGCCCGUUUGGAGACGGUGGUUGUCGCUCUACUUCGACACCUUUUGCGACUUCCACCAGUGUUGUUGGCCGCUCUACAUCGACUCCUCUUGCGGCUUCCGCGCGCGGUGGUCACCGCUCUACGUCUACUCCUCUCGCGGCUUCCGCGCGCGGCGGUGACCGCUCAACGUCGACUCCUCUCGCGGCUUUCGCGCGCGAUGGUGAUCACUCUAUGUCGACUCCCCCAGUGGCUUCCACAUAUGGCUCUACGUCGACUCGCCACUCUCGGUCGAUUCUACACGCGGCUUCCACGGGUGGUGAAGACUGCUUAUUAUCAGCAGGUGUUUCUACCUCGACCUCUUCCGCCGUGUCCCUGUCUCCACAUGAGAUUGCGCAGUUGCAAUCUCUGCUUGCUACUUGGGAUUCUUCACCGACAAGUUCUGCAAGUUCCUUGACUGUCUCUUCUGGCACUGAGAAACCACCUUCUACUCAUUCAGGUACAUCCCCAUGGAUUCUUGAUACUGGAGCAUCUGUUCAUAUGACAUAUGAUUCUUCCAUUUUGACCUCCGUUCGACCUGUUGAGUCUCCUGUUCGUGUUCUUACAGCUGAUGUCACUCCCUUGCAUGUAGCUAGUCGAGGCACUCUUAGCACUUCUUUAUUUCAUGUUCCCUCUGUCGCUCAUGUUUCUGGACUUACCAUGCAGCUCAUAUCUGGUGGUCAGAUUGUGGACUCUAGUUGUAGGGUCAUCCUUGACUUUGAUUCAUGUUCCGUCCAGGAUCGUCGCACGGGCACUCUACUUGGUGCUGGCCCUCGACGCUCUGAUGGUCUUUGGGAGCUUGACUGGCUACGUCUUCCUUCCGCUGCCACCACUGCCAGUCUCGUAGCCCCUGUUGCUACAUCUACUAGCUCUUUUCAGCAGUGGCAUCAUCGUCUUGGCUAUUUAUGUGGUUCUCGUCUCUUGUCUUUGGUUCAUCGUGGUGUUCUGGGGUCUGUCUCCGGUAACGCUUCGUUAGAUUGUCUGGGUUGUAGGCUUGGUAAGCAGAUUCAGCUACCCUAUCCUCACAGUGAGUCGGUGUCCGAGCGCCCUUUUGACCUCGUUCACUCUGAUGUUUGGGGUCCGGCUCCCUUUGCUUCAAAAGGGGGUCACCGCUACUAUAUUAUCUUUAUAGACGAUUUUUCAUGGUACACUUGGAUCUAUUUCAUGUCUUCUCGUAGUGAGGUCUUAUCUAUAUACAAAAAAUUUGCUGCCAUGGUUCAAACCCAGUUUUCCACUCCUAUUCGUGUUUUUCGCGCAGAUUCAGCUGGUGAGUAUAUCUCCCAUGCGAUGCGAGGAUUCCUUGCUGAGCAAGGUACUCUUCCUCAGUUUUCUUGCCCUGGUGCUCAUGCUCAGAAUGGUGUGGCUGAGCGCAAACACCGUCACCUUCUUGAGACGACACGUGCGAUGAUGAUCGCCGCCUCUCUUCCGCCUCACUUCUGGGCUGAGGCUGUUACCACUUCCACGUAUCUCAUUAACAUUCAGCCAUCUGCUGCUCUACAGGGUGGCAUUCCUCUCGAGCGUCUUUCUGGUCGUUCUCCUGAUUAUUCGGUGCUUCGCUUGUUUGGUUGCGUUUGCUAUGUUUUGCUUGCCCCUCGUGAACGCACCAAACUGACUGCUCAGUCUGUUUGA
rnacentral:rRNA from 1 species